CAGUAGCCGCGGUAAUACGUAGGGUGCAAGCGUUAAUCGGAAUUACUGGGCGUAAAGCGUGCGCAGGCGGUUUUGUAAGACAGAGGUGAAAUCCCCGGGCUCAACCUGGGAACUGCCUUUGUGACUGCAAGGCUGGAGUGCGGCAGAGGGGGAUGGAAUUCCGCGUGUAGCAGUGAAAUGCGUAGAUAUGCGGAGGAACACCGAUGGCGAAGGCAAUCCCCUGGGCCUGCACUGACGCUCAUGCACGAAAGCGUGGGGAGCAAACAGGAUUAGAUACCCCUGUAGUCCCUGUCUCUUAUAC
rnacentral:rRNA from 1 species